rnacentral:tRNA from 1 species
GGUUCCAUAGAGUAGUGGUUAGCACGUCUGCUUUACACGCAGAAGGUCCUGGGUUUGCACCCCAGUGGAGCCA